rnacentral:rRNA from 1 species
UGAAUACGAGAUGCUACGGCGUCGAAGCAGUCUAUGUCAUACUUCCAAGAAAAGCUUGCACUGUCAUAAACAAAUAAUGCCUGUACCAUAACCGACACAGGUGGGUAGGUAGAGUAUACUAAGGGGCGCGAUAACUCUCUCUAAGGAACUCGGCAAAAUGACUCCGUAACUUCGGGAGAAGGGGUGCCUUAUUUAUAAGGUUGCAAUAACAAGAUCCAAGCAACUGUUUACCAAAAACACAGGUCUCCGCUAAGUCGUAAGACGAUGUAUGGGGGCUGACGCCUGCCCAGUGCCAGAAGGUUAAAGAAGUUGGUUAGCAUCCGCGAAGCUGAUAACUGAAGCCCUGGUGAACGGCGGCCGUAACAAUAACGGUCCUAAGGUAGCGAAAUUCCUUGUCGGGUAAGUUCCGACCCGCACGAAAGGCGUAAUGAUUUGGAUACUGUCUCGGAGAGGGGCUCGGUGAAAUAGACUUGUCUGUGAAGAUGCGGACUACCUGCACCAGGACAGAAAGACCCUAUGAAGCUUUACUGUAACCUGAAAUUGUAAUUGGACUUUACUUGCGCAGUAUAGGUGGGAGGCGUUGAGAAUAUUCUUGCGGGAUUAUUGGAGCCAUCAGUGAGAUACCACUCUUGUAAUGUUAGAUUUCUAACUUUGUAUCAUUAUCUGGUCAAAGAACAGUUUCAGGCGAGCAGUUUGACUGGGGCGGUCGCCUCCUAAACGGUAACGGAGGCGCACAAAGGUUUCCUCUGAACGGGUAGAAAUCGUAUCUAGAGUGUAAAGGCAUAAGGAAGCUUGACUGUGAGACCUACAAGUCGAGCAGGGACGAAAGUCGGUCUUAGUGAUCUGACGGUGCUGAGUGGAAAGGCCGUCACUCAACGGAUAAAAGUUACUCUAAGGAUAACAGGCUGAUCUCCCCCAAGAGUUCACAUCGACGGGGAGGUUUGGCACCUCGAUGUCGGCUCAUCGCAUCCUGGGGCGGUAGUACGUCCCAAGGGUUGGGCUGUUCGCCCAUGAAAGCGGUACGCGAGCUGGGUUCAGAACGUCGUGAGACAGUUCGGUCCAUAUCCGGUGUAGGCGUUAGAAUAUUGAGAGGAGCCUUCUUUAGUACGAGAGGACCGAGAAGGACAUACCUCUGGUGUACCAGUUAUCGUGCCAACGGUAAACGCUGGGUAGCUAUGUGUGGAGUGGAUAACCGCUGAAAGCAUCUAAGUGGGAAGCCCACCUCAAGAUAAGUAUUCUCA